GACGAACGCUGGCGGCGUGCUUAACGCAUGCAAGUCGAGCGGAAAGGCCCUGCUUUUGUGGGGUGCUCGAGUGGCGAACGGGUGAGUAACACGUGAGUAACCUGCCCUUGACUUUGGGAUAACUUCAGGAAACUGGGGCUAAUACCGGAUAGGAGCUCCUGCUGCAUGGUGGGGGUUGGAAAGUUUCGGCGGUUGGGGAUGGACUCGCGGCUUAUCAGCUUGUUGGUGGGGUAGUGGCUUACCAAGGCUUUGACGGGUAGCCGGCCUGAGAGGGUGACCGGCCACAUUGGGACUGAGAUACGGCCCAGACUCCUACGGGAGGCAGCAGUGGGGAAUAUUGCACAAUGGGCGGAAGCCUGAUGCAGCAACGCCGCGUGCGGGAUGACGGCCUUCGGGUUGUAAACCGCUUUCGCCUGUGACGAAGCGUGAGUGACGGUAAUGGGUAAAGAAGCACCGGCUAACUACGUG
rnacentral:rRNA from 1 species